GGUUGCAUGGUGUAGUGGUUUGAGCAUUGGACUAUGACUCUAGACACCAGAGUUUGAAUCCUGGAUCAACCA